rnacentral:lncRNA from 1 species
UUACAAGGAGGAAAAUAACUGCUGAUUUCACUGCAAGGAAUGGUCUGCUGCAAUUUUUUUUUUGUUUGAAACAGAAGAAUUCCUUCUCACUUUCCUGAUGUCUAUUUUUUCCACAUGUUAAUAUCCCUGAAAGUGGGAUGCAUCUUAAAUCCAUGGCAUUGAACAAUUGCUCUUAGCAAAAUGUCAGUCACAGCAUAAUUGUAAUUAUCUAUGCAUGUGUGUGAUGUAUAAACUUUGUUAUAGCUUUUAAUAUUAUCCAGGUUUCAACUGAAUUCUGUGCAUUGUUGUUAUAUAUUAGCAUCUUCGUGUAUUUAAGUGCUUUUCAACUGUCUUUUAUAAGAUAACUGUAAGACAGAUCCUUGAAUGUUCCUUGUCCGACCCAGUUCUUGCAACUUUGGAGCAGAAUGUACCAAGAAUGUAACUCCCCGAAAUAAAGAAGAACCCUCCAGAAUAGCUUAAGAUUUUUCCUCGUCUCUCCAAGAAGAGGAUGUUUUGCAACACUUGAACUCAGGAAACCAAGUUGCCUUCAGGAUAUAAAACCCAGAAGAGUGGGAUUUUGAGGCUUUUACUUUGAUGCAAAUUGGGGCACAUGCAGAUUGAUUUCAUCCAUUUUGCACAACUCUCCUGAACCAGGGGGAAUCAGCUCACCAUGGAGUCCAGGUUUCUGUUAAUCCCUGCUGCCUAUCUUUACUGACAAUGUUGAAAUUUACAUGAGCCCUGUAAUUCUGGAAAACAGCUAUGGAUAAAGAAUUGCACCACCACUUUCAUUUUCUGGAAAAUGACACCCUUCCUGGUUAUAAUUCUAAAGGUGUUUGCUGUUUAAAACUGAUUCAGGUAAUCUCUCAGAGCAAAGGCAACUUUAUUUGGAAUACUAAACUAUAAGCUCUGAUAAGACCAGAGAUUUCUGUCUAUAUCCGGAAGAUCUGGGACGUGGUUGGCAUCAUUGCAGUAAUCUCUGGAGUUACCCACAUCCUGGAACUGAUCUCUUUUUGUGUAUAGGAUUCAACAGUACCACUACCCUACCAUGUCUGGCUACAAACUCU